UACGGGGGGGGCAAGCGUUGUUCGGAAUUACUGGGCGUAAAGGGCUCGUAGGUGGCCAACUAAGUCAGACGUGAAAUCCCUCAGCUUAACUGGGGAACUGCGUCUGAUACUGGAUGGCUUGAGUUUGGGAGAGGGAUGCGGAAUUCCAGGUGUAGCGGUGAAAUGCGUAGAUAUCUGGAGGAACACCGGUGGCGAAGGCGGCAUCCUGGACCGAGAUUGACGCUGAUGCGCGAAAGCCAGGGGAGACAAACGGGU
rnacentral:rRNA from 1 species